rnacentral:rRNA from 1 species
AUGAAGUUCACGUCUGGUUGAAGGUUGUUGCUGGCUCCUCGGGGCAUGUGCACGCCUUGACCGGAUUAUGUCCCCCUUCACACCUGUGCACCAACUGUAGCUGGGGAUGAUCACGGAGCUGUCGGUUCCGAAUGCCCUCGCUACGAAUGUUUAUACACACCUAUGAUAAAGUCUUUUAGAAUGUUUUGCCAGCGUGUAAAAGCGCGAAUGAAAUACAACUUUCAGCAACGGAUCUCUUGGCUCUCGCAUCGAUGAAGAACGCAGCGAAAUGCGAUAAGUAAUGUGAAUUGCAGAAUUCAGUGAAUCAUCGAAUCUUUGAACGCACCUUGCGCUCCUUGGUAUUCCGAGGAGCAUGCCUGUUUGAGUGUCAUGAAGUCAUCAACUGCUUCGGCUUUGUUUCGAAGUGAAGUUGGAUUUGGAGUGUUUGCCGGCGUGUUCGGCUCCUCCCAAAAGCAUAAACCCCUCCUCCUCUUGGUGGAAAAGUAUCCUUGAUGUGAUAGUCUUUUACGUCGCGGAGAAAGCCUUGAAGUGG